UGGGCCUAAAUAGAACUAUUAUGCUAACUUAUCUUGUUUGGGUUUUAUUUAAUUUUGAAUUAAGAUUUAUGUGUAUUUUACAAGCCCAUUUUAAUCCACAUUUUUUUUUAUUUUAUUCAUGUCAGCCCACAUACUCUUAUUAAGUUUUGUAGAUUUUUACUUUUGUUUUUGUAGAGAGAUUUAUGUGUUACUUUGGCAGCAGCCACUUGUCUAUAUUCAUCAAAAAUUUCAGCCACAUAUCACUCCACCAUUCACCACAUCCUAAGCCAAUCAUCUUACAUGCAAAUUUUCCUUUCCACAAUAAACUUGCCAAAACUCAAGAUCAUUCACAGAAAACUCAAAUAUCAUCAGCUUUCUUUCCUCUCCAAAAAUUCAAUCGAAACACAAGAAACCUCUUUGAGCAAUAUCUACCUCAAAUCAACUCAGCCAUACACCAAACAUAUCAAAGAACACAGUCUGUCCACUUGAGAGAAGGAAUUAGCAUUGCUUUUACAAGAAGAGAAUUGUACAUCUUUUAUCUACGAGCUUGUUCUAUCAAGGUUGAGCGGCAGGUGGUGUCGUGCGAGGCUGAAGGAGGAUGUUGCUGUAGUUUCGUAUAAUAAUUUCCGCUGCCAUAAUAUUCACUUAGGUGGAUAUCUUUUGAGAAUGACUCUUUAAAUAUUCUUAGCCUAAUUUUAUGAACUCUUUUGGCAAUCGCAUUACUAGCAAUUGAACCUCGCUUAUAUGUACGUCUAGUAUGAAGUGUUAUCUUGUUGUCUCAGACCUCCGAACUUUUGAUCCUGGUUGGGAAAAUUUCUAUCCUAAUUGUUGUACUUAUUAUCCUUCAA